rnacentral:rRNA from 1 species
AGUAACGCGUGGGUAACCUGCCUUGUACAGGGGGAUAACAGCUGGAAACGGCUGCUAAUACCGCAUAAGCGCACGGCAUCGCAUGAUGCAGUGUGAAAAACUCCGGUGGUAUAAGAUGGACCCGCGUUGGAUUAGCUAGUUGGUGAGGUAACGGCCCACCAAGGCGACGAUCCAUAGCCGACCUGAGAGGGUGACCGGCCACAUUGGGACUGAGACACGGCCCAA